rnacentral:rRNA from 1 species
AUUGAACGCUGGCGGCAUGCCUUACACAUGCAAGUCGAACGGUAACAGGUCUUCGGAUGCUGACGAGUGGCGAACGGGUGAGCAAUACAUCGGAACGUGCCCGAUCGUGGGGGAUAACGAGGCGAAAGCUUUGCUAAUACCGCAUACGAUCUACGGAUGAAAGCGGGGGAUCUUCGGACCUCGCGCGGACGGAGCGGCCGAUGGCAGAUUAGGUAGUUGGUGGGAUAAAAGCUUACCAAGCCGACGAUCUGUAGCUGGUCUGAGAGGAUGAUCAGCCACACUGGGACUGAGACACGGCCCAGACUCCUACGGGAGGCAGCAGUGGGGAAUUUUGGACAAAGGGCGAAAGCCUGAUCCAGCCAUGCCGCGUGCAGGAUGAAGGCCUUCGGGUUGUAAACUGCUUUUGUACGGAACGAAAAGCCUCUUUCUAAUAAAGAGGGGUCAUGACGGUACCGUAAGAAUAAGCACCGGCUAACUACGUG